rnacentral:misc_RNA from 1 species
UCGAGUUAGGGUCUUCCACGGCCCGACCUCCCAACCCUUUGUCGAACUUACCACUUGUUGCUUCGGCGGGCCCGCCCCUCCUCUCGGGGGGCCGCCGGAGGACCGUCACACGUCCUCUGGUCCGCGCCCGUCGACAGCCCCAAUUUAUUAAACUCUGAACAAAACGUGUCACAAUCUGAGUACCUAUAUGAAAAUAAAGCAA